rnacentral:rRNA from 1 species
UCUGCGCCGGUUAGUGGCGGAUGGGUGAGCAACACGUGGGUGACCUGCCCCGAAGUGGGGAAUAACUACUCGAAAGGGUGGCUAAUUCCGCAUGUGGUCCAUCAUUCGUUUGGUGGAUUAAAGACUUCGGUUGCUUCGGGAGGGGCUUGCGGCCGAUUAGCUAGUUGGUGGGGUAACGGCCUACCAAGGCGAUGAUCGGUAGCUGGUCUGAGAGGACGAUCAGCCACACUGGCACUGACAUACGGGCCAGACUCCUACGGGAGGCAGCAGCAAGGAAUAUUAGACAAUGGGCGAAAGCCUGAUCUAGCAACGCCGCGUGGGCGAUGAAGGCCUUCGGGUUGUAAAGCCCUUUUCUGCGGGAAGAGCGAAGGACGGUACCGCAGGAAUAAGUCUCGGCUAACUACGUGCCAGCAGCAGCGGUAAUACGUAGGAGACGAGCGUUAUCCGGAUUUACUGGGUGUAAAGCGCAUGUAGGCGGGUUCCCAAGUCGAGCAUGAAAUCUCCCGGCUCAACCAGGAGGAGCGGUUCGAUACUAGGAGUCUUGAGGGCAGGAGAGGGAAGCAGAAUUCCCGGUGUAGUGGUGGAAUACGUAGAUAUCGGGAGGAAUACCAGUGGCGAAAGCGGCUUCCUGGCCUGUUUCUAACGCUGAGAUGCGAAAGCGUGGGGAGCGAACGGGAUUAGAUACCCCGGUAGUCCACGCUGUAAACGAUGGAUACUAGGUGUUGGUGGCCCUUUACCCCACCAGUGCCGAAGCUAACGCGAUAAGUAUCCCACCUGGGGACUACGGUCGCAAGACUAAAACUCAAAGGAAUUGACGGGGGCCCGCACAAGCAGCGGAGCGUGUGGUUCAAUUCGAUGAUACACGAAGAACCUUACCUGGGUUUGACAUGCUAGUGGUAGUGACGCGAAAGCCGAACGACCCUUCGGGGAGCUAGCACAGGUGCUGCAUGGUUGUCGUCAGCUCGUGCCGUGAGGUGUUAGGUUAAGUCCUGCAACGAGCGCAACCC